UAACCGCCAUAGGGGUAAGAAGCCCGCGGGAAACUUCUCCGACUGAAAUCCACUGAGAAGAAGGGAGUCUCUCUUCAGUUGUUGCUGCCGGGAAUUUUGGUUUCGGAAACAGCUAGCAGAGGAAACAAGAGGCUGUGGAUCAGUUUCUGAACCUUGUCAACACAGAUCACCACUGCUCCUCAUUAUCUCAAAAUCUUAUCAGGGACCCUAAAGACACUUCCUCCACAGACAGCAGGAAGCAGUUUGGAGAAAAGGAAGUCCACAUUUUCAAGAGUGGGGGCGGGGAGUCUGCGGCUCAGAGAUUGCCUUCGUGAGCACUUUCAAACGGUGCUGUGACUUUUGAAGUCUCAUGAGUGUGUUUCUCACUGUGAGAAGGCAUGAUUCUAUCUGGUCAUGGUGCAACAUUGUAACUUAAAGCCUCUAUAAUCACUGAAGAAGAUAUCCCUCUGGGCACAUCUGUGAAGAACUCUCUAGAUUAGUGUAACUGAGGAGGGAGAUACAUCCUGAAUGUGGGCAGCGUCUUACAGGCUGUGGUCCUCGACUGAGAAGACAGAAGGAGGAAGAAAGCUGGGACCAGCAUUCAUCGAUUCAUGCGCAUGCAGUGUGAGCAGCUCCUGCUGCUGGGAGGGACUGUCCCUCAGUCUGAACCAAAACUAACCUUUCCUUCCUUAAAAAUAUAGACUACUGUGAUUUUA